UACGAAGGGGGCUAGCGUUGUUCGGAUUUACUGGGCGUAAAGCGCACGUAGGCGGGAUCGUUAAGUCGGGGGUGAAAUCCUGGAGCUCAACUCCAGAACUGCCUUCGAUACUGGCGAUCGUUGAGUCCGGAAGAGGUGAGUGGAACUCCUAGUGUAGAGGUGGAAUUCGUAGAUAUUAGGAAGAACACCAGUGGCGAAGGCGGCUCACUGGUCCGGUACUGACGCUGAGGUGG
rnacentral:rRNA from 1 species